rnacentral:rRNA from 1 species
AACGAACGCUGGCGGCAUGCCUAACACAUGCAAGUCGAACGAGACCUUCGGGUCUAGUGGCGCACGGGUGCGUAACGCGUGGGAACCUGCCCUUAGGUUCGGAAUAACUCCCCGAAAGGGGUGCUAAUACCGGAUAAUGUCUUCGGACCACAGAUUUAUCGCCUUUGGAUGGGCCCGCGUUGGAUUAGCUAGUUGGUAGGGUAAAAGCCUACCAAGGCGACGAUCCAUAGCUGGUCUGAGAGGAUGAUCAGCCACACUGGGACUGAGACACGGCCCAGACUCCUACGGGAGGCAGCAGUGGGGAAUAUUGGACAAUGGGCGAAAGCCUGAUCCAGCAAUGCCGCGUGAGUGAUGAAGGCCUUAGGGUUGUAAAGCUCUCUUACCCGGGAUGAUAAUGACAGUACCGGGAGAAUAAGCUCCGGCUAACUCCGUG